CAUUUUCUUCUUUGAUUCGAGUAUUCGGCCAUGACUGAAGUGGCCAGCUCAGCGGUGCACGAGGUGCUCGGCCGCCGAGUCCAGGAUGUGGAUCAGCCAAUCAUCGAUUACAUCAUCAACGUCCUCGCCGAUGAUGAUUUCGAUUUCGGCGAGGAAGGUGAGGGUGCCUUUGAAGCUAUAGGUGAACUCCUCGUUGGUGCCGGCUGCGUCUCCGACUUCUCUGAAUGCCGUUUGGUUUGUUGUAAGCUAUCUGAAAAAUUUGGAAAGCAUGGGUUAGUAAAAGCAAAACCAACUGUACGGAGCCUUACGACGCCCCUAAGAAUGAAUGAUGGAAUGGAUGAGGAGGUUCCAGUGAAGAAGCCUGAGGUUAUGGAUGGUCCUGUUCUGUCUGAGCGUGNAGCGUGACCGUGCAAAGCUAGAGAGGAGAAAGAGAAAGGAGGAGCGGCAAAGAGAGGCACAAUAUCAAAUGCAUCUAGCAGAAAUGGAAGCAGUUAGAGCUGGCAUGCCAGUUGUAUGUGUGAAUCAUGAUAUUGGUAGUGGACCAACCGUCAAGGAUAUUCAUAUGGAGAACUUCAGUAUCUCAGUGGGUGGCCGUGAUCUCAUUGUUGAUGGUUCAGUCACACUUUCUUUUGGAAGGCAUUAUGGCCUUGUUGGAAGAAAUGGUACUGGGAAAACAACUUUCCUCAGGCACAUGGCUAUGCAUGCUAUUGAUGGUAUUCCUGCAAACUGCCAAAUCUUACAUGUUGAGCAAGAAGUGGUUGGUGAUGAUACAUCAGCCUUGCAAUGUGUUCUGAACACUGAUAUUGAGAGAACCCAGCUUUUGCAAGAAGAAGCUCGUCUACUUGCACAACAGAGAGAAUUGGAAUUUGAGGGAGAAAAUGGAGAUCUCAAAGGGGAUCACAAUGGGGCAAUUGACAAAGAUGGUAUUGCACCAAGGCUUGAGGAAAUAUACAAAAGGCUUGAGUUUAUUGACGCAUACUCUGCAGAAGCACGUGCUGCUUCCAUUCUUGCGGGCCUCAGUUUCUCUCCAGAAAUGCAGAAAAAGGCAACCAAAACUUUUUCUGGAGGAUGGCGAAUGAGAAUAGCUCUUGCUCGUGCCCUUUUUAUAGAGCCUGAUUUAUUGCUACUCGAUGAACCUACAAACCAUCUUGAUCUUCAUGCUGUCCUAUGGCUGGAAUCUUACCUGAUGAAGUGGCCAAAAACAUUUAUAGUUGUUUCUCAUGCUAGAGAAUUCUUGAACACGGUCGUCACAGACAUUCUCCAUCUACAUGCGCAAAAGUUGAGUGCUUACAAAGGUAAUUAUGAUACAUUUGAGAAGACACGGGAGGAACAAAUUAAGAACCAACAGAAAGCAUUUGAAGCAAAUGAACGAUCAAGAGCCCAUAUGCAGUCCUUUAUUGACAAAUUUCGUUAUAAUGCAAAGAGGGCAUCUCUUGUCCAGUCACGAAUCAAGGCAUUGGAGCGAAUGGGUCAUGUAGAUGAAAUUGUUAAUGACCCAGACUACAAAUUUGAGUUUCCUACUCCAGAUGAUAGACCAGGUCCCCCUAUAAUAAGUUUCAGUGAUGCAUCAUUUGGUUAUCCAGGGGGGCCCAUGUUAUUUAAGAACUUGAAUUUUGGGAUAGAUCUGGACAGCCGCAUUGCAAUGGUUGGGCCAAAUGGCAUUGGGAAAUCAACGAUCCUUAAAUUAAUAGCUGGAGAACUACAACCAAGCUCUGGCACCAUCUUUCGUUCUGCUAAGGUUCGAAUUGCCGUGUUUAGUCAGCACCAUGUUGAUGGACUUGACCUGUCUUCCAAUCCUCUUUUAUAUAUGAUGCGCUGCUUCCCAGGGGUGCCUGAACAAAAGCUUCGUGCUCACUUGGGUUCUUUUGGGGUAACUGGAAAUCUGGCACUUCAACCAAUGUACACACUAUCUGGUGGUCAGAAAAGCAGGGUUGCAUUUGCAAAGAUAACUUUCAGGAAACCACAUAUAAUAUUGUUGGAUGAGCCAUCCAACCAUCUUGAUUUGGACGCAGUGGAGGCACUAAUCCAAGGCCUUGUCUUGUUCCAAGGAGGGAUUCUCAUGGUUAGUCACGAUGAGCAUCUAAUAUCUGGAAGCGUAGAGGAGCUAUGGGUGGUUUCACAAGGAAGAGUGACACCUUUCCAUGGAACAUUCCAGGAUUACAAGAAGAUACUCCAGUCAUCUUAAAACACAUUUUGUUGACUUCAUAGCUAUUCCUGC
rnacentral:misc_RNA from 1 species